UUAGUAGAUCAGUCUUUGGGUGGGUCUAUAGUACUUGUAUGGGAGACCACCUGGGAAUACUAGGCUGUCUACACUAAA
rnacentral:rRNA from 1 species